UAGGAUUCCCUCAGUAGCGGCGAGCGAACAGGGAGGAGCCCAGCACCGAAUCCCGCGCCCCCCAAAGGACGCCGGGAAAUGUGGUGUUAGGGAGGGUCCGUUAUCCUGCGAACGUGCGACGCGUCCAAGUCCUUCUUGAACGGGGCCAAUACCCACAGAGGGUGCCAGGCCCGUARAGACCGUUGCCGAUCGCGGGAGGAUCUCUCCUCAGAGUCGGGUUGCUUGAGAGUGCAGCCCUAAGUGGGUGGUAAACUCCAUCUAAGGCUAAAUAUUACCACGAGACCGAUAGCGAACAAGUACCGUGAGGGAAAGUUGAAAAGAACUUUGAAGAGAGAGUUCAAUAGUACGUGAAACCGUUCAGGGGUAAACCUGAGAAACCCGAAAGGUCGAAAGGGGAGAUUCAGCGCAUCUCGCGGACGGCGACGGACGGUCGUGCGACGGACGGUGCGCUCGCGCACCGACCGCGCCCUCCAUUCGACGAACCGAACGCGAACGCGUGCACUUCUCCCCGAGUAGGACGUCGCGAUCCGUUGGGUGUCGGUCUAAGGGUCGCGGUGGAGCUCUCGAAUGGUGCCCGUCAAAAGGUACGAUUUGAGAACCCGCGUUUCCCGACCGGCUCGCCCGACGGUGUACGAAUGGCGCUGGGCCGCGCUCACACAAUGCGCGUCCGAACCGUGGCAAGCGCGCUCGCGGCGUCGGUGAUCGGACCCCGUGCCGGUCCCGGCCCCGAGUGGCUGUUGGCCACGGUCCUCUCGGACAGACCCAGUUGUAACGCCGAUCGGCGACGCAAUAGCGUUGGGUACUUUCAGGGCCCGUCUUGAAACACGGACCAAGGAGUCUAGCAUGUGCGCGAGUCAUUGGGAAUUACUAAACCUAAAGGCGCAAUGAAAGUGUAGGUUCGUCUAGAGCGGACCGAGGGAGGAUGCGUGACACGUUAAAAACGUUCGCGUCGCACUCCCGGGGCGUCUCAUUCUCAUUGCGAGAAGAGGCGCACCAAGAGCGUACACGCUGGGACCCGAAAGAUGGUGAACUAUGCCUGGUCAGGACGAAGUCAGGGGAAACCCUGAUGGAGGUCCGUAGCGAUUCUGACGUGCAAAUCGAUCGUCGGAACUGGGUAUAGGGGCGAAAGACUAAUCGAAUCAUCUAGUAGCUGGUUCCCUCCGAAGUUUCCCUCAGGAUAGCUGGCGCUCAUUGCGCAAGAGUUUCAUCUGGUAAAGCGAAUGAUUAGAGGCAUUGGGGUCGAAACGGCCUCAACCUAUUCUCAAACUUUAAAUGGGUGAGAUCUCCGGCUUGCUCGAACUAAGAAGCCGCGAGACUCGAAUCAGAG
rnacentral:rRNA from 1 species